ensembl:lncRNA
UCUUUCGAUACGCAAACGUAGCGCAUCGUAUCGAACGGUACGAUUCAGCACACCGUGUCAUUACACCUGUAAUGAGUAGCUUUCCAAAUAAGACCUUUUUUCUGCCGUCGUUCAGUCAAGAAGCGGAUCGUUUAACAAAAGCAAGUAGUCUUUAUUUGUAAAUGGCAUUUACAAAUGAAUAUUUACAUUACGUAAUCUUGUAUUAUUAUUAUUAUUAUUCUUUUUUUCUUACAAAGUGCCAUUUCUCACAAAAAUAGAUCUCUUUUUCAAAAAACUUUAAAUAUCUGUACAUUUGUUAUGAAUAUUAUAUACAAAGCAGGUGGACCCACCCGAAGGAGCCAGUAGUCGAACAAAAACUGAAAUCUUCUCCAACGUCCACAUUUACUUCAAAUAAGAAAAAAAACAACAACAACAAGAACAACAACAACAGCAACGAAAAUAACCAACAUAAAUGACGCAAAAGCACAAUGUGGGCCAUGGCACUGAGAAGCUGAACAUAGUAGCGAUGCUACAUUGGAUUUUUUGGCAGCCGUUCGGUGACUCGCACCUUUUCUGAAGAUAUAGUCGAUACACGACGUCGAUAAAUAAAUAUCUUAUCUUAUUUCUUUCCAGAAAAUAAAUCCUUUUCAUAGCUGGAGUAUUUUACAAGGCGUUGUUAAUGGGACCGUUACGUGACGCGCUCUUUGAGACAUCACCGAAAUCAGAAAAAUCAAAAAGCAAUGAAACGUUCGAAAUCAUUCGAUUGAACACAAACUACAAUCUCUAGCCAUGGAUUAGUAUCCUUAUGCGGAAUAAAAACCAACGGAAAGGUAAUGCAUGGGUACAUUAAGGUUCCCUUAACUGACAUGAUAUCACAGUGCUGCUCAAUUCUACAUUCUGAUUGGUCAGAAAUUCUUCAUUCUGAUUCCCAUUCUGAUUGGUCAGUAACUCUGCAUUCUGAUUGGUCAGAAAUUCUCCAUUCUGAUUGGUCAGUAAUUCUGCAUUCUGAUUGGUCAGAAAUUCUCCAUUCUGAUUGGUCAGUAAUUCUGCAUUCUGAUUGGUCAGAAAUUCUCCAUUCUGAUUGGUCAUAAUUCUGCAUUCUGAUUGGUCAGAAAUUCUCCAUUCUGAUUGGUCAGUAAUUCUGCAUUCUGAUUGGUCAGAAAUUCUGCAUUCUGAUUGGUCAGAAAUUCUGCAUUCUGAUUGGUCAGAAUUCUGCAUUCUGAUUCGCAUUCUGAUUGGUCAGAAAUUCUGCAUUCUGAUGGU